UUACUUACCUGGAUGGGGUCCAUGGGCGAUCAAAAAGGCCCAUGGCCUAGGUUGGCGACCUCUUUUGCACUUUGGAGGGGUACCCGCUUAAGGCCUGCCUAAGUGGUGGAGUUUACGUCAUAAUCUGUGAUAAUGGGGCUAGCAUUCGCGCAGCCCCUUC